rnacentral:rRNA from 1 species
AUUGAACGCUGGCGGCAUGCCUUACACAUGCAAGUCGAACGGUAACGGGCUUUCGGGUUCCUACGAGUGGCGAACGGGGGAGUAAUACAUCGGAACGCGCCCGAACGUGCGGGAUAACGGGGCGAAACGUUUGCUAAUAUACCCUAAUAUCUCCGGAUGGAAGCGGGUGACCGCAAGGCCUUUUCCGGCCUGACCGGCCGAUGGCAGAUUAUGUAGUAGGUGGGAGAAAAGCUUACCAAGCCGACGAUCUGUAGCUGGUCUGAGAGGAUGAUCAGCCACACUGGGACUGAGACACGGCCCAGACUCCUACGGGAGGCAGCAGUGGGGAAUUUUGGACAAUGGGCGCAAGCCUGAUCCAACCAUGCCGCGUGCGGGAUGAAGGCCUUCGGGUUGUAAAAUGCUUUUGUACGGAACGAAAAGCCUUCUUUUAAUACAGGAGGGUCAUGACGGUACCGUAAGAAUAAGCACCGGCUAACUACGUG